AUUUAGGUUUUCUCCCUAAAUUUAAACUAAUUUUUCGAUAUUGAGGUUAUAUUAAAGAACCUUGAUGUCUGAUCACAAUUUGAGGGAAGAGAAGCUGCUGUUUUGAAAUCGAAGACUAAAAGAAGAUAAUGGAUCAACAACAAAAAGCCAACAACGAUAAUCGUUCAAACCAGGAUAAUCAGAACAACUUUCGAUACCAAGGCCAUCAGUCAGGAUAUACCGGAACUGGAACAAAAUCGGACUUGAGUAACCACGCGAACCAUAAGAAUCCGAAUAACCCGAGAUACCCGGGGAAGAAAUGAACCCGUGAUAGAAGAUGAAUAAAUGGAAAUUAAAGAAAUAUCAAUUUUAUUUUUAUAAUAAUUAUCAGCUUUUAAAACGAUCAAUUUCUGAGAAUACAAUUAACUGAAAUAGUA